rnacentral:rRNA from 1 species
AUUGAACGCUGGCGGCAUGCCUUACACAUGCAAGUCGAACGGUAACAGGUCUUCGGAUGCUGACGAGUGGCGAACGGGUGAGUAAUACAUCGGAACGUGCCCGAUCGUGGGGGAUAACGGAGCGAAAGCUUUGCUAAUACCGCAUACGAUCUACGGAUGAAAGCAGGGGACCGCAAGGCCUUGUGCGGACGGAGCGGCCGAUGGCAGAUUAGGUAGUUGGUGGGGUAAAAGCUUACCAAGCCGACGAUCUGUAGCUGGUCUGAGAGGACGACCAGCCACACUGGGACUGAGACACGGCCCAGACUCCUACGGGAGGCAGCAGUGGGGAAUUUUGGACAAUGGGCGAAAGCCUGAUCCAGCCAUGCCGCGUGCAGGAUGAAGGCCUUCGGGUUGUAAACUGCUUUUGUACGGAACGAAAAGACUCCUUCUAAUAAAGGGGGUCCAUGACGGUACCGUAAGAAUAAGCACCGGCUAACUACGUGCCAGCCGCCGCGGUAACAC